rnacentral:rRNA from 1 species
ACACGUAGGUGGCAAGCGUUGUCCGGAAUUAUUGGGCGUAAAGCGCGCGCAGGCGGUUCCUUAAGUCAGAUGUGAAAGCCCCCGGCUCAACCGGGGAGGGUCAUUGGAAACUGGGGAACUUGAGUGCAGAAGAGGAGAGUGGAAUUCCAAGUGUAGCGGUGAAAUGCGUAGAGAUUUGGAGGAACACCAGUGGCGAAGGCGGCUGUCUGGUCUGUAACUGACGCUGAGGCUCGAAAGCGUGGGGAGCAAACAGGAUUAGAUACCCUGGUAGUCCACGCCGUAAACGAUGAGUGCUAAGUGUUGGGGGGUUUCCGCCCCUCAGUGCUGCAGCUAACGCAUUAAGCACUCCGCCUGGGGAGUACGGUCGCAAGGCUGAAACUUAAAUGAAUUGGCGGGG